rnacentral:tRNA from 1 species
GGAUGUGGCUCAAGUGGUAGAGUGCUUGCCUGGUAUGCGUGCGUCCCGGGUUCGAUCUUCAGCACCA